rnacentral:tRNA from 1 species
GGGGAUGUGGCUCAAUCAGUAAAGCGCUCGCCUGGCAUGCGCGGGGUGCUGGGUUCGAUUCUCAGCACCACA